UUUGUAGGCUGAGAAGGAAAAUGUUCGAGUUCAUCUUGAUGUAUUCUCCUGUCAAACAGGAAUCUCACUGUUUACUCAGCUCAACAAAAACUGGGUUUACGAUAAAACUGAAAACUUAACAUUGCAGGAGUUAGAAGACAACUACACUCAUUUACUUAUAUCAGGACAAAACAAGUAUUCCUUGGAGAUGAAACACUUUUUAGGAAAU